CGUGGUGUAGUUGGUUAUCACGUCAGUCUAACACACUGAAGGUCUCCAGUUCGAGUCCGGGCGAAGCCAUUUGCUAUAAAUAGACUUUACUAGGACUAUAGAUGAAGGAAAAUUCAAACAUGUAAAGAGUUCAGUAUCAGUUGGUUUAUUCCAACCUGAAGUAAAAUACGAAUAUGUAGUGCAAUUUCAAAACAGAGUAUCACACAAUCAUGAAUUAUAGCAAU